rnacentral:tRNA from 1 species
UCGCCCGUAGCUCAGUUGGAUAGAGCAUCUGCCUUCUAAGCAGGCGGUCGCAGGUUCGAUUCCUGUCGGGCGAACCA